GAUGAACGCUGGCGGCGUGCCUAAUACAUGCAAGUCGAGCGAACGGACGAGAAGCUUGCUUCUCUGAUGUUAGCGGCGGACGGGUGAGUAACACGUGGAUAACCUACCUAUAAGACUGGGAUAACUUCGGGAAACCGGAGCUAAUACCGGAUGAUAUUUUGAACCGCAUGGUUCAAAAGUGAAAGACGGUCUUGCUGUCACUUAUAGAUGGAUCCGCGCUGCAUUAGCUAGUUGGUAAGGUAACGGCUUACCAAGGCAACGAUGCAUAGCCGACCUGAGAGGGUGAUCAGCCAAACUGGAACUGAGAAACGGUCCAGACUCCUACGGGAGGCAGCAGUAGGGAAUCUUCCGCAAUGGGCGAAAGCCUGACGGAGCAACGCCGCGUGAGUGAUGAAGGUCUUCGGAUCGUAAAACUCUGUUAUUAGGGAAGAACAUAUGUGUAAGUAACUGUGCACAUCUUGACGGUACCUAAUCAGAAAGCCACGGCUAACUACGUG
rnacentral:rRNA from 1 species